rnacentral:rRNA from 1 species
UGGGGAAUAUUGGACAAUGGGCGAAAGCCUGAUCCAGCAAUGCCGCGUGUGUGAAGAAGGUCUUCGGAUUGUAAAGCACUUUCGACGGGGACGAUGAUGACGGUACCCGUAGAAGAAGCCCCGGCUAACUUCGUGCCUAG